rnacentral:lncRNA from 1 species
CUCAGCUAGGGAGGAGCUAGAAUCUUGCCAAAAGGUUUUCAAGGCUGAUAGGCAUUUAAAAGUGAAAGCAGAGUAGAGUCUGCUUGGGAUUCAUGAGCGGAGCUAUGAAGAUGAAAGAAAUAAGACAUAGAAAAAUGAAGGAAGUUCCCUGGCAUUGCACACUUGGUAUAGAUGAUGACACUAAGAUUUAAACUCUGACUCCAGAAUUCUUAUCUCCAUGAUUCUAUUCUGUCUCACCAGUAGAUUGACAGAUGUCAGUCUUGCUCCAUAUGCUUCCAUGUUAAGAGCUGAGCAUACCAGGACAUUGAAAAGAAAGAUUAUUUCACACAGUAUCAUAUCACCUACUUAUUCCUGCCUCCAGGAUCUUGCCUUGACUUCCUGCCCUGACUUCCCUUCAUGCUGGACUGCGGCUGGCGUAAAGCUUACACAUGGCGGUGGGGCUCAAGGAGGAGCCAGAAAAGGAAGACAGGAGGACUCCAGGGGCCAGCCACCCAGUUACACAGCAAGCUAUGGAAUAAGAAGUAAAAAAAGCAAUCCCCCUAAUUUCUGCCUCACAUCUUCCAUAGCAGAUGUAACUCACAGAGCAGUGGUGUGGAGUCAUGGAGGCGGCAGCUCUGCCCUCCUGAUGCUGAUGGGAAUGGUUCUGCUGUUUCACCAUGAAGGAAGAUAUAGGCUCUCCAUACGAGGUGCUUCAUGUUGAGUAGCCUCCUGUAUCUGUCACCUGCCUCGUUGCUGUGACAAAACAUCUGAUGACAAGCAAACUCAAGAGCAAGUUUUUCCUGGGGGGAAAGAAUGGCAGCAGGCACUUGGGCAGCUGGUCACGUUGCACCUGCAGUCCGGAAGCAGGAAGACAUGUACAGUGAUGUUCAGCUCGCUUUCCAUAUUUUAUUUGUUCCAGGAUCCUCAUACUCACAAAGUUAGUGCAGGACACCAGAACCUAAUGGUACUCAUAAGGUGUCAUGUUCCUUUAGCUAGCCUAAUGAGAUGUGACAGCAACUGGGCUUAUAUUUCUUCUAGAACUUAGUCCUUGAAAAGAUGCUGUCAUAGUUAGAGUAGCUUCCUGCCACAAUUCACCUAAUCUAGAAAUGCUUGACAAGCAUGCCCAGAGGUUUGUCUCCCAGGUGAUGCUAGACCCUGUCAAGCUGAAAACCAAUAUUAGCCAUAACACUCCCAUCCCUAUUUUUCUCUGGAUUGCUUUUUUUCAAUUGUGCAUGAAUAUUGUAUUUUAUCUGAAUGCUUUUUGUCAACCAUUGUUAAUUAUCAUGUGGGUUUUCAUAUUGAAAAGCUGUCAGUAUAUUAAUAGACUUUUUUUUCUAACACUAAUCUGUCCUUGCUUCUCUAGAAUAAAACUGGUUUAACUGUGAUAGGCUGUUCUCUUUGUGCUUUAUUUUGCUGUUAUAUUUUGCCAUUUGAAAGUUCUCUGGUAGGUUUGUAUUGUACCAACCUAGUUUAGUUGGAACUAUGCUGCAGAAUUCUCUUUAAACAGUUCUAGAUUAACUGGGUCACAAGAGACAGAUGAGUGAG